AUUUCUCAUUGCUGGGCCCCACUUUCCCAUCCCCCCACGCCCCCAGUCCAUCCCCAGGGUGUGAGGUUCCUCAUCUUCAAUCUCUGCUACACCCAAACCUGCCAAGUUCCCCUUUUCAACCACUGUGGGGUCAUCCAACCCACCGACACCCAUCCACUCUGGGCUCUCUAAAUCCCACAUUCCCACAAUGCACCUUGGUAACUCCAUUCUCCUCUAUCCCUAAUCCCCCUAUUCCCUUCCCUUAGGUCCUCCUGGACACCCCAACCCACAGUCAGGCCCCCACAUACAUCCCAGUCACUCAUUCACAUGCUGUGCUAGUUCUUCAGGGACCCCCACAGCCCAGCAAACUUCUCCAUCCAUGAGCCCCAUGGACCUGUGGCCGGGAAGAGCUGAGGACAGACAGGUCUGAGGAGCAGAGCAGGAGCUCUGGGAAGGAGAAGAGCAAUAUGAAGAUGGAGUGUAAGAUGAGGCCAGCAAGGGAAAAGAAGUCGUGGGGACGGAGUCCAGCCCUGAGGUGAGAUGGAAAGUGAUCGAGAGCAGUGACAGCGUGAAUCCUGUUGAUGCCAGGCAAGAGCUGCCCAACUGGGACAAGAGUAACCGUCUCUGUUGGUGAGAUGUGUAUCUGGUUUGGGAAGGGCUCUGGUCACAGCCCUCCUGGCUCCAGGCAGGGACUUCCCAUUACCUGGGUGUGGGUUUCCGGACUAUCUGUGGCUUCAAGGGAGAUGAUGUUGCCAUUUGCGAGGGCUGAUCAUCUCUCUUGCGAGGAGUGGUGUGUGCUCCCUAGCAGAAAGUUGGAUCCAUGAGGGUGACUCCCUGUUCUG